AACUUUUAACAAUGGAUCACUUGGCUCUCCCAUCGAUGAAGAACGCAGCGAAAUGCGAUAAGUCAUGUGAAUUGCAGACUUCAGUGAAUCAUCGAAUCUUUGAACGCACCUUGCGCACUUUGGUAUUCCGAACGGCAUGCCUGUUUGAGAGUCAUUAAAUUCUCAACCCAAAAAGCUGUUACUAGCUCUUUUUGUGGCUUUGAUGUGGGGGUUUUUGCUGGCUUCCUUCAGUGGAUGGUCUGCUCCCCUUAAAUGCAUUAGUGGGAUCUCUUGUGGACCGUCACUUGGUGUGAUAAUUAUCUAUACCACGUUGACUUUGAAGCAAAACUUAUGGGAACCCGCUCAUAACCGUCUUCGGACAACUCUUGACAUUUUGACCUCAAAUCAGGUAGGACUACCCGCUGAACUUAAGCAUAUCAAUAAGCGGAGGCU
rnacentral:misc_RNA from 1 species